rnacentral:lncRNA from 1 species
AGUAAACAUCCUAAAUUAGAUAAUGUUAGUGAAUUCUAUUUUUGGCAUUGUAGGCUUGGUCAUGUGAAUAAGAAUAGGAUUGACAGGUGGAUCAAUGAACAUAUCCUUGAGAUAGAUGAUUGUGAAUCAUUGCCUACCAUGAGUCCUAUCUACUUGAUAAGAUGACUAAGUCACUUUUUAAGAAAAAAGGUGAAAGAGCCAGUGAUGUCCU